rnacentral:rRNA from 1 species
GUCAUCGGCGAUAGUGCGUUGAAUGCACCAGUUCCCCACGGCCCACUGAAGUUAAGUAAUGUUGCGCGUGGUUAGAACCUUGAUGGUGACUAUCCGGGAUCCGGGGAAUCCGCGUGCU